rnacentral:rRNA from 1 species
UACGAAGGGGGCUAGCGUUGUUCGGAAUUACUGGGCGUAAAGCGCACGUAGGCGGAUACUUAAGUUAGGGGUGAAAUCCCAGAGCUCAACUCUGGAACUGCCUUUAAUACUGGGUAUCUCGAGUCCGGAAGAGGUGAGUGGAAUUCCGAGUGUAGAGGUGAAAUUCGUAGAUAUUCGGAGGAACACCAGUGGCGAAGGCGGCUCACUGGUCCGGUACUGACGCUUAGGUGCGAAAGCGUGGGGAGCAAACAGG